AGGUGUUUCUCUUUGUGUGGUGAGGUCCUUGGUGAUGGUUAUGGUCUGUCGGGUGUCUGCGAGGCGUUUGCUGCCGACAUGGCUGCGGAGCAAGGAAAAGGCGCUAGGCCCGCCUUCAUGCAGCGGCCCACGUGCAGGUUCCUCAUCCUCGCAAGCGAGGCUGCAGUACUACCGCAGUGCGGUUUGAGACGUCCACUGGUGUGUUCUUGAAUGAAGAAUGAGAGCUGUGGGAACACUCCAGGUGGUGCCCCUUCAGGGAAAUUCUGUGCUAACCUGAGGACUGAAAGCUGAAGGGGUGGAAUGUACUCCUUGGAAGACUGUUCGUGGCUUUAUACCUAGGUAGUGAUUCCUGUACUUUAAAUCAAGCUGGUAAGAGAGUGAGCCGUUUCUCCUAGGUUGCCAGGGUGAGUCUUCAUAUUUGUGUGGUAAUUGAGUGGUAAUGAUGACCUGGUUGGACUAGAGUCUCUGAGCUUUUCUCUGAGGAUCUUUGAAACCACCUGAUCCACUCCUCAUGCUUCUCCACCUUGUGUGGCACCUACCCUGUCCACUCAACUUACUAUUUGUACUGUUGCCAGCAUGGUUCUGAUACAUGCUCCUUUUAUUAAAUUCCAGGAUUUUGCUGACAUCAAGAAUGACCUGUCAGAUCCUGGGAACUUUCUCUUUUCCUGUAUUAACCUGUGUGAGCAGCUGUCUACUUAAGCAAAACACUGGCUAGAAAUUUGAAAUAUGUACCAAGUACACAACAUUAGCAGGGUGUGAUGUCCUUCUAUCUAAAAAAACAACCGUUUACUUGUAUUUUGUUUUUUUAUACAUGGACCUUAUUUUAUCAAAAAUACUCCAAUAAAUAUUUUA